rnacentral:misc_RNA from 1 species
GUAACGUGGGUCUGGAAAGUCUUCUUUUACACCACUCCACUGCGUACAAAGCAAGUCCCUCACUGGUACUUUUUCCACCUCUCACUGAGCACCAGCGAACAGAAAUUGCAGCUUCUCUCUCUCUCGACGACACUUCCUCUCCAUAGAAAACUAAAAACUAAAAAGAAGAGAUUUUCAGAUGGGAGAAGGAAAGGGCUCGACUCUGGUCCACGUUCUGGUGGUUGUUCUGAGCCUCGUUGCCUUUGGAUUCGCCAUUGCCGCUGAGAGACGAAGAAGCAUUGGCCAUAUUGAAAAAGAUCCAACAAAUGCGACGUACUGUGUCUACAACUCUGAUGUUGCAACUGGUUAUGGAGUGGGUGCUUUCUUAUUUCUUCUUUCAAGCGAAUCAUUGCUAAUGGGUGUAACAAAGUGCAUGUGUUUUGGAAGACCAUUAACUCCAGGCGGAAAUCGAGCUUGGUCCAUCAUCUACUUUGUCUCAUCAUGGUUGACUUUUCUGGUUGCAGAAGCAUGUCUAAUUGCUGGUGCAGCGAAAAAUGCAUACCACACCAAGUACCGAGGAAUGAUAUAUGCUCAAAAUUUCUCAUGCGAAACAUUGCGGAAAGGUGUUUUUGUUGCUGGAGCAGUGUUUGCUGUUGCAACAAUGGUUCUUAAUGUAUAUUACUACUUGUAUUUCUCAAAGGCUACUGCUCCUCUUCCAGCCCAGAAAGCAAAUCGUACAAGUUCAAAUGUUGGGAUGACUGGCUACGCAUAGAAUCAUCUACGAGACCAGAUAACUAAGUUUUGCUUCAUGAUGUUUUGAGUUCUGGUGGUGAUUGUAUCAUACGAUUGUUGUGCUUAUCUGGUGAUAUAUAGUGAGUUUGUGAUUUAUGAAAGCCCAAAUAUAGAAAUUUUUAAUCAAGAAACUAAGACGUAGAAAAUCAUAUUUAGAGAAUUAAAGUCUUCCAAUCCAAAUGCAAGUAAGACUAACGUGAAGUGCCCAUGGCUGAAGAAGCUGGGAGCAUAGGUUCAAUGCAGGUGGAUAUGAAAUUAUUGAAAAUUUUGGCCCAUGGUAUGUGGAGAUGAUUUAAACUCUAUCAGUUGGGGUUCACAGUUUGUUGCUGCCAUUUGUAGUUAAUCCAACCAAUUCCAAUAACAGUUGAACAUUUCAACAUCCCUCCUGAGAGCUAAGGGCUUUUCCAGCAUCAUCUCAAUUAAUUUGAUUUCCAAUUUUAUGGUAGAUUGAGGCCUGAUUAAGAUGUACGGUGAGUACCAAGUCCUUCACAUGUAGCGAGGGGAACUAAGUAAGCAGAGAGUUCAGAGUACCUGAAAAUGUCAAAGAACAGCUCAACAAGUAAAAAAAGUUGCAACCAAUUGCAAAGAAUCAGUAGACGGUUCUCCUGAGCAAAGACACGGAUAACUGGGAAGACCACAAAACCGAGGAUAACAAGCGAAGCAAAUAUUGGUGCUAAUCAAUUUUGGCCUCUAAGCAGCAUAUAGAAGGUCUGAAUUUAGCUUAUUUAACAGUGAGGGUGGUAGAUUCCAAGCAGAGUCACAUGAUAAACUAGUUAUGGGUGCAAAUUGUUUGGACAACCAACCAAAUAUUGGUACUAAUCAAUUUUGGCCUCAGGUGCUCAGCAAACAAUUUCAGUGUUUGUCGAACAUAUUUCAG